UAGGUUGUGGCACCGUUAAAGUCCACAAUUUCUCUAAGCCUUAAGCGGUGUUGUGGACUUUAACGAUGCCACAAUGGG
rnacentral:sRNA from 1 species